rnacentral:rRNA from 1 species
UACGUAGGGAGCAAGCGUUGUUCGGAUUUACUGGGCGUAAAGGGCGCGUAGGCGGCAAUUCAAGUCAUCUGUGAAAUCUCCGGGCUUAACUCGGAACGGUCAGAUGAUACUGUCUUGCUAGAGUGCAGAAGGGGCAAUCGGAAUUCUUGGUGUAGCGGUGAAAUGCGUAGAUAUCAAGAGGAACACCUGAGGUGAAGACGGGUUGCUGGGCUGACACUGACGCUGAGGCGCGAAAGCGUGGGUAGCAAACAGG